rnacentral:rRNA from 1 species
AGUGAACGCUGGCGGUAGGCCUAACACAUGCAAGUCGAACGGCAGCACAGUAAGAGCUUGCUCUUACGGGUGGCGAGUGGCGGACGGGUGAGGAAUACAUCGGAAUCUACUUUUUCGUGGGGGAUAACGUAGGGAAACUUACGCUAAUACCGCAUACGACCUACGGGUGAAAGCAGGGGAUCUUUGGACCUUGCGCGAUUGAAUGAGCCGAUGUCGGAUUAGCUAGUUGGCGGGGUAAAGGCCCACCAAGGCGACGAUCCGUAGCUGGGCUGAGAGGAUGAUCCGCCACACUGGGACUGAGACACGGUACAGACUCCUACGGGAGGCAGCAGUGGGGAAUGUUGGACAAUGGGCGGAAGCCUGAUCCAGCCAUACCGCGUGGGUGAAGAAGGCCUUCGGGUUGUAAAGCCCUUCUGUUGGGAAAGAAAAGCAGCGGGUUAAUACCCCGCUGUUCUGACGGUACCCAAAGAAUAAGCACCGGCUAACUUCGUG